ensembl:lncRNA
CUACAUUCCAUGUAUUUUUGUGGUGAUGGAACCAUGGUGUGAUAAGAGCUUAUGGGGAGUCAGAGAGCUGUUUGUAAUGGAAUAUCCAAAAACUGCAUGGGGCAUUUGAGCCACUGUGAUCAGGUUGAGGCAGAUGAAUUCAACCUCAAGUGUCAUAAACACCAGGAAACUGGGAGUUUCAUUCUUGUUUUCAGUCUCAAACUGAAGGAAAGUGAGGAUGGAGAGGAUCAAGUGGCAUCUCCAAUAUCUGUGAAAUCAAAUGAAUUUUAGCAUUCUCUGCUGACUACUAAGUAAGGGCAAUACCUGUCUCUGCAACAAUUAUUUUUGUGAGGUGCUAGGAGGACAAAUAAUACAUCUUUGUGUCUGGCACGGAGGAUAAGACCAAGUCCAAUAAUUUUUUGUCAAAUGUGAACUUCAAGUGCACUCUGCAGUGCAACCUGGAACCUCUAUCACCACCUCAACUGUUAUAUGUCUCUUGUGUGAUUUGUAAGAUUUCACUUCUGUAGAAAUAGGAGAGGACUAGAGAAAGAAGUUGAUGUAUGUGUCCUUCUUCAUGUCAGAAAAGGAUUAGGAUGUUAUAGAGUAUAAAAUUCUAUUUGGGAGGAGUCAAUGAAACAACAUCCUGGGAUGGGCUAAGUUCUAUACAGAUGUGCGCACACACACAAAGUAA